UGACCCUUUUUAAGCCGAGGGUCACCUAGCCAACUGACGUUGUUAGUGAACUCAAUUGUUCACACUUAUAUCAGCCAAUCUCGUUUAUUGAGGUUGGCUUUUUUUUA
rnacentral:sRNA from 1 species